AGUGGCGGACGGGUGAGUAACGCGUAGGAAUCUGCCUAGUAGUGGGGGACAACUCGGAGAAAUUCGAGCUAAUACCGCAUACGCCCUACGGGGGAAAGCGGGGGAUCUUCGGACCUCGCGCUAUUAGAUGAGCCUGCGUUAGAUUAGCUAGUUGGUGGGGUAAAGGCCUACCAAGGCGACGAUCUAUAGCUGGUCUGAGAGGACGAUCAGCCACACUGGGACUGAGACACGGCCCAGACUCCUACGGGAGGCAGCAGUGGGGAAUAUUGGACAAUGGGCGCAAGCCUGAUCCAGCAAUACCGCGUGUGUGAAGAAGGCCUGAGGGUUGUAAAGCACUUUCAAUAGGGAGGAAAAAGCGAGGCUUAAUACGUCUUGCCUUGACAUUACCUUUAGAAGAAGCACCGGCUAACUCCGUGCCAGCAGCCGCGGUAAUACGGAGGGUGCGAGCGUUAAUCGGAAUUACUGGGCGUAAAGCGUACGUAGGCGGUUAUUUAAGUCAGAUGCGAAAGCCCCGGGCUUAACCUGGGAACUGCAUUUGAUACUGGGUAACUUGAGUUUAGUAGAGGGGAGUG
rnacentral:rRNA from 1 species